AUUGUUGGCCGGUAUGAAUGGCGUCACGAAGGCCCCACUGUCUUAAGAGGACUCUCCAUGAAAUUGAAUUCGUAGUGAAGAUGCUACGUCCAUAUUGUAAGACGAAAAGACCCCAUUGAGCUUUACUAAAGACUUGCAUGGCUCAAAAUAAUUUAAAUAAAAAGUUUAGAUAAUGUGGGAUCCGUUUCCGGUUAAUGAAACACCACUCUUUUAUUUUAAGAGAGCUAACAUCGCAGGGAUAAUGUAAGUUGGAUAGUUUGGUUGGGGCGACCACCUUUUAAAAGGUAACGAAGGUGGGCUUAAGGUCCGUAGUUAAUAGCCGGUGGCCUGACUGCAAGGGGGACGUCUCGAGCAGACACGUCCUUAGGGAUGUGGGCUAUAGUGACCCGUCAUCUUAGCGUGGAAUAGUUGACGAUCAA
rnacentral:rRNA from 1 species